GCUAAUACCGGAUAACAACAGAUGAUGCCUAUCAACUGUUUAAAAGUAUGGUUCUGCUAUCACUCUUGGAUGGACCUGCGGUGCAUUAGCUAGUUGGUAGGGUAACGGCCUACCAAGGCGAUGAUGCAUAGCCGAGUUGAGAGACUGAUCGGCCACAUUGGGACUGAGACACGGCCCAAACUCCUACGGGAGGCAGCAGNG
rnacentral:rRNA from 1 species